rnacentral:lncRNA from 1 species
CAAAAAGCAUCUUGCUUCAAUCAGUUUAUUCCAGUUCUGAAUAAAAAUUAUUAGUUGUAUUUUAACAGCAACAGUUCCAACCUAGACUUGUUUUCAACAAUAAUUUAUACAGUAAAAUGUACAGGAGACCUGAUCAUUUUUCAUCUUCAUCUGUAGUUUCUUAGGGUCGCACUAUCAGUAGCUAGUUAGCUUGCUUUGGCAAAUGUUAGCUAUUAGCUGUGUAACGUUAGAAGGCAAUUGGAUUGUUUGAAAGAGAAACUCACAUCUAACGUUACUACCAUGAGAGAUAGUACUCCCUUAUUUCUGCUCAUCAUCACCUGUUAUAAAAUGACAACAAUGCCUUGCUAGUUGACUUACUCUUCCACGUUGAAGCACUGUUUCCUGAAGCAUUCUGCCCAGUUCUGAAAGAACUCCCUGGGUUUACCGUCAUGUUGUGCCUGGAUGUUUGGUCAGGACGUGUCGUUUUAUUAAUUUGUUCGUUUUGAGAGACUCAUUACUAAGCACUUCCCCACACAAAACACAUUGUGGGGACUCCUUGUUUUUUCUGAGUUUGUAUGAAAGAGACAAAAAGUCAUCACUGUAAUUGCGUUUCAUGACGAUUGAGCUCAGUCAGAACUUGUGGCUAGCAUGUAUCCAUUUCAUGAUGGCGAGUAGGAAUGACAAUUCAGCGACUUGAACGACAGCGCUGCAGCGUGUGGGUCGCGGAGUGAUCUUCAACAAAACUGCAGAAAAAAAGAUCCAGUAAACCGCGACGCACACGGGCAUCUACCUCUCGCGCAGCUGCCAAACAGCAGAGAGCGCUGAUAAGCAGAGAGCGCACCGAACCGACAGCGCAGUUGCACUUGGCCAAAUCAAUUCCGCUCCUCUCCCCCUUCCCUCCCUGCCUCCACUCUCCUUUCUCCCCCAUACCCAUAACCCUCUACCCCAGAUUCCCCAAUUGGACUUGGUGAUCCUGCCUUGGGUGGGAAGCUGAUGGCAGGAAUGCAUGUUGACCACAGUCCCCGGAGAUGCUUCCAACAGGACCACGGGCGCCUGGUCAUCCCCAGCAGCCCGGCCCAGCUGGGUGCCCUGGUCAAUGGCACGGCUAAGGACCAGCACCGGCAGGAGCAGGCCCUCCACAACCUCCGCAAGACCAUGGAGGACAAGGAGCGGCAGCUGGACGAGAAGGAGGCAGUGGACGUGUGAGCGCCAGGCCCUAAAAGCGGGCCAUGAGGCCAGGGUGUGGGCCCAGGAGGAGAAGCUCCUGGCCCUGCGUGUGGAGAUGGCUGCCCUGCGUGACUAGGUGGACAAGUACAAACGCCCCACCUCCUCUUCCAGGCCUCCCUCCACCACCUUCACUCAACCCCCACCUCAACCCCACCCACCUCAGUAUCCGCUCCUUGGUCUCUGGGCCCUGCAACUGGCUGAGGUUCUAUACAGUGUUUGGAUCCUACGGCCACUUCAAAGCUCUACUCCGGUUAUAAACUGUGGCUUUUGUUGUUUGGUUUUUCCUGAUUUUAAUGAUGUCUGUUUUGUGUGUGUCGGUUUCUAUGUGUAUGUGUGUGUCUCGGUAUGUCUGUUUCCUCUGACUUUGUGUGUUGUGUUGACUAUGGCCUUUUGGGUUCCGACAAGGGGCAGAGAGGACAGAGCUGUUUGACUGAAGAGAGGGAGGGAGGACACAGCUGGGGACGAUGGUGGAGGAGAGGACAAUGAACAGCCUCAAUUUGUCGGAGCAUGGAGUCUACAAGGUGUCGAAAGCGCUUCACAGGGAUGCUGGCCCAUGUUGACUGGAUGUCCUUUGGGUGGUGGGCCAUUCUUGAUACACACGGGAAACUGAUGAGCGUGAAAAACCCAGCAGCGUUGCAGUUCUUGACACAAACCGAACCCUCCCUUCAUCAUCCAGGCCUUCCGCUUCAGGGUGUCAGAGUCCACCGUGUCCCACGUCUGGAGCACCUGGAUGGAGCUGCUGCAGAGACGGAUGAGACAGGGAGAGGGUUGAAAAGGGAGUAUGCGGUGGGGAGAGUAGGGAGGGUAACCUCUUGGUGGAAGGAGGGGGGCAUAGAGAGGUAGAGGUGUGGAGAGAGUGGGGCCAAAAAUAAAUACAAAAUACAAAGAAAGUUUGAAUGAAACCUAGGUAACAUCAGAUUACAUACUGUACCUGCCCCAUAGCAUGACCUUGACUCUUAUCAGUGAAUAAUAAUUAGAAUGUCGGUAGAAUCGUGAGAUAAUGCUGGUUUUAGGUUGUAUUUUGUAGUCCACCAAAACAAAGCCAUUGUUUUGACUACUCAGGAUCUCAGACUUAACGAACCACGUGAUUGUUAGAGAUAACUGUUAUCGGUAGGAGUUUUAUAUUUCCUGUGCUUUUCACCUAUACUGUUAUUGUGACCUAUAAGCCUUGAGCACCCUCAUUCCCUCUCCCCACCAGAUCCCCAGCCAGCGUUACAUCACUCUUUCCAGCCCCACCUAGCCAACGGCUCUAGGUUCUCGAGUGUGCCGACACCCUCUCCGACGUCCACUCCAGCCUCCGCAAGCGAGGGGACACACCCAACCCCUCCUACCAGGCCCUACCACUACCUCUGCAGCGAACGUGUCUGCUGUCUGAUGGACAAGGGGAUGGCGUUCCAUUACCUGAGGGUGGUGCACCCUGCCCGGAUCGGUGUGCUGCUUCCUGGCCUGCCUCCUGCACCGUCCUCAGGGAAUCAAAUAGGUCCAAGACCAAGGGCCUCUGUGACAACUAUCUCUGCGAGCAGGCCCAGACUAACUACCUCCACGAGGAGGCCCAAGCUAACCACCUACAUGUGAGGAGGCCCAGACUUCUAUCUCCACAUGGAGACCUUUGUCAACAACCUCCUUGAGGAGAACCAUGUUGACCUCGUCGAGGAGGCCCCUGUUUACAACUUCAGUGAGAAAGCCUGUCUACUACCUCUGCGAGGAGGCCCAUGUCAACAACGUUCUACAUUGGGGAGUAGUUUGGGACUCUUGAUUGAGAAAGGACAACUAAAAGUUGCAUGGGCCUCCUGAAAGAUGUUUGAGUUAUUUUUAUUGUUUAUCUUUUCUGAAUUGUGUACAAUGAAUUGUUUAUUACUACUGUUAAGACAAAAUGGAAUUGACUUAAUAACAAGACACCUUGUUCCAAAGUUCAUAAUAAAACUUUUUGGGGGA